rnacentral:lncRNA from 1 species
AUCCAAACAUCCGAUGUGACAGGACUAAAGUUUAGCCCCUGGCAUCCAAACGUCCCCUAAACUAAGUCGUCGCUUGCACCGAGACACACGAAAUGACCAAGAGGGUGUUUAGUUUCCACGCCUAAAAUUUAGUCCUAUAGUAUUAAACUAGACUAUUUACAAAGUCCAUUACACAGACGGAGGCUAAAUGGCGAGACAAAUCUAUUAAAUCUAAUUAAUUCAUGAUUUGAUAAUAUGCUGUAACUAUUUGCUAAUGAUGAAUUAAUUAAUCUUAAUAGAUUCAUCUCACCGUUUAGCCUCCAUCCGUACGAUUAGUUUUAUAAUUAAAUCAUUCUAAUUAGUCUCAAAUAUUCGACGUGACACGGGGUAUCCAUAACAAAACACCCCCAAUUUUUGCGUUGGGGGCGAACCUUCGUUUCUUCCGCACGCACUUUCCCCUUCCGACCGAUCUGCUGCGCCCGUCCUCAAAUCGACCACCUGUGCUCCAAUCGGCGGUGGCCUUCCUGCCGUCGGUGGUGCCACAUGGCCUGGUGGUGCUUCCCCUCCAGGCGUCCAUCCUCCAGUUCUUGGUGUCAAUGCACGGUGGCCGGCGCCCCCAGUUGAUUCGUCUCCUGGACGCACAAAUCGACCACCCUGCAAUCCAAAAUUUAAGCUCUACUUCUAGGAUAGAAGUCCUUGCUUACCAAAUCUCCACACUACUAUCAGGAUGGACCUCCUAAUCGCUGCAGAUAGAGGCCUAAAAAGGAUGGGAUCUUAGCUCCAUGGGGGAUCGAGCUUCUCCCUGUCCGAAUCGAUCUCCUUUCGUCCAGGAUUGAGCUUCUCCCAUCCUGGAUUGAGCUAGUCAAUGGAGAGCAGGUGGAGGAGAAGAGGAAAAAUAAUGUUUGCUGGAGGAGGAAGAGGAGGUCAGAGGAGGCAUUGGUGGGACUGGUGUAGCUUGCUUUCUUUUACUGUAUAAGAAGAUAAGGAAGUGGGUGUAGCAUCAAUUUUUUUCCUCGUUUGUUUGGAUGGAGGCAUAACAGUAUUCCAUUUUUUAUUAGCAAAAAUGAAAUCGCACAGCUUAUCCGAGUGUUCAGCGAAUUGUCGUGUUGCAAGAGUUACCGCAGUUAAUCCUAUCUAUUUGUUGAG